rnacentral:lncRNA from 1 species
AGGAGGAAAUCCUAUGUGUCUGCUCCCAGAGCUGCCACAACCCAUCUUCCCACAACUCGGAACUUGGAAAAAGGAACCCAGGACACGACUUUGCUUUUCUUUUGGACCUAGUUGAAGUCACAGCUUGGAGGAAACCAGUUUGCACUAUUUGAUGAGGAAUUUGGCCACCAAACCACUGAUACUUUCCCAAAGAUACAAGUUAACAGGAUAUGCUUCUGGCGUGUUUCUGGAUUCUAAGGGUAGAACCAGCAUGAAACUAGUCAGUCCAAGUAUUUCUAAAGAUCCACAGACACAGUUCUCCUAGAUUUGGGAAGCCUAGAGAUAUUAGCACAAUAAUUAUGGCCCAACAACUUUUAAAAGCAUUUCCAUUGCACAGUGAAAGAAAACCACAAACUCCUUGUUUAAUAACUCGGAUCAUGUGCUUUUAACGAGAGGAAAAGGUCAAGUCUGAAGCAACUGAUAUGGAACUGCCAGAGUAGGAGUUGAAAAUAUUCCUAAACUGCUGGAGGAUACACCUCUGAUAGCUUGAGACAAAUAUCCUCUUGAUUAUUGUUUCACCAUAUUUGUCUUUGCUCACAGAGAACCAUUUUGACCUGUGGUUUAGCCUCCCAGGUGAUUGAACAAUAGCGGUGAUCUGAGGCAGACCCUCUGUGACGGAUAAC